rnacentral:rRNA from 1 species
UACGUAGGGGGCAAGCGUUGUCCGGAUUCAUUGGGCGUAAAGAGCGUGUAGGCGGCCAGGUAGGUCGGUUGUGAAAACUGGAGGCUCAACCUUCAGACGUCGACCGAAACCAUCUGGCUAGAGUCCGGGAGAGGAGAGUGGAAUUCCUGGUGUAGCGGUGGAAUGCGCAGAUAUCAGGAAGAACACCGGUGGCGAAGGCGGCUCUCUGGGCCUUACCUGACGCUGAGGAGCGAAAGCGUGGGGAGCAAACAGG